AAAUUAUAGGUUGUUUUGACUUUUCUAGGUUCAUAAAUAUUAUUAUAUAUCUAAAUAUUAUAUCUAGAUGCAUAAUAAUAUUUAUGAAUAAAAAAAAGCUAAAAACGGAGGGAGUAGUUAUCAGGUAGGAAUAGGCGUAGGAGAUACGGAGUACAGCUAAAACUUACUCCUACGCAGGGAGUACAGCUAAAGCUAAACCUGUCCGUCCGUUAAUCAUACGGUUGCAGUACAACCCGCUACGUGACAGAAUUGAUGGAUGCCCCGACCCAAUUUUGUCCACACCUCCACGCGGCGCGUGGCGUCAUGUCAAUAAAAAAAGAACCAAAAGUAAAAAAAAAAAAGAGCACGAACGGACCAACCCCGCAUCCAUCCACGGCAGGGCAAAACGUCACGUCGCGCACCCGAGUCCACGCCGCAGUGCCGCAGUCUUCUCCCUCCGGCCCGGUCAGUCAAUUUUCCACCCCGCACCAGAUCGGGGCCCCACACCGCAGCGGCCACGGAGCCACCAGCCGCCACGCAGGCGGCCCCACGCUCCUGACCGCAGGGUCCCGUGCCCGUUGCUGCUCCACCUGUCAGUCAGACUGGGCGCGGUGGCGGUGCGUGCGUGCGGCGGAGCCAGAUAUUUUUCGGUGCCCGCCGCGUGCCGCCUGCUGCGCCCUUUUGCAGCAUCGCCCUCUCCGGUUCCACGUUAUUGCGAACGGGCGUUUGACCCCCAACGGGCAACGGGUAUGCGUGCCCCGUAUACCGUGCAGGCAGUUGGGAUUUUUUAUAUUCGUUUUUUUUCCCAAUAAUGUGUGCACGAAAUUCGAUGCUACGCGAGUGGGGCCUCCCCUCCCUUCCCGGCACGUGAUGAGUUGAUGACGCAGUUUCGGUUGGGGACCCCUUUUUUUUUUGCGUGUGUUGUGUGCUCUGUUGCGAUGAUAAAAGGCUUGACGACGUGACGUCUCCGGGACUAGACACCUAUCCGGAGCGGAGGGGGUGGCGCCUCCCCGACAUGGCAGAACCGCUGAUCAAGUCAAGAACGAGCGAGGAUAAUUGCCACCAACCGCCCCUCCAGCACUCUACGACUCCGUGGUCUAGUAGACUUGCAACUACCGCACACCGAAACAGGCAAGGUUCGUUUCCCAUUUCUUUCACACGUUUUUUUUACCGUCUCAAAAUAUAACUGAUACACUACACAUGAAAGGAUGCGAAAGCCAUUCAAAUUCGCCCUAAAAAAAAAUAAAAAGAAAGUCCAAAUUCACGGUUAAUGGAACCGCUACAGUUGCAUACGGCAUCCGCGUGCAACACCAACGGAAAUACGCAUAUAUACCCAACUUUCACCGUGCAGCAUCCGUUAAAAACCAAUCACCGGUGCGUGCGGUAGUCGCUAGCGUUUUUAUUUCGAAAAAAAAAUACAGGCAAAGUACAGGCAGCAGUCACGUCCGUUUAAAUUCGAGACCUAGUGGUAAAAUAAUAAUAAUGAUACCUCCAUUAACAUUUUCUGCCGCGCUAAAAUCCAUAGAUACCCACAGAUUUUUUUUAUUUUCCUCUCAAAACAAAAUUCCAAAACCCUGAUUCCCAACCGCUUGCCAGCGCCAUCUCAUCAUCUUCCUCCCCUCCUCCCCUGCCUGCCUUUGGAACGCAAGACGAACGCGAACUCGAGACGAAACAAAAACAGAGGGGGAGACCGGAGGCGAGACCUUUUCUAUUCGCUUCCUCCUCCGCCUCCUCCCUGAUUUAUUUAUUUAUUUUUCCUUUUUUCCUUUCUCUCUCCUAAAUAAUAUACCUCGCCUCCUCCCUCGCCCCUUCCUUCCCCUAUCCGCCCUCCGCUGCCCCCCCCUUCCCAACGCGGCGACGACCGCCGACCGCGGCGACUCCGAGCCCGGAGCCGCCGACCCCUCCCCGCGCCCCGCCCGCCGCCGGGGGUCAACGGGAACCGCCGGCAACGGCCGCCGCUCCGCAGGCAUUCGCCGCCACGCGGGUCCACGAGGUUCGUGUCUCUAGUUUCGCGUUGGUAUAAGGGUUGGACUGGGGGCGGGUGCCCGUUCGUUCGCGGAAUUCUGAUUGGGUUUUGUGCCCGUGCUCUCGGCCCCCAGCGGCUGGAAUUCUAGGGUUUUGUAGGCCCGGCUUCGGCGUGAUCGGGCGCGGCGGCGGCGGCGGGAGGAGGAGCGGGUGCGCGGGCAUUGGAUGGUCUCGAUCCGUACGGGCCCCUGCUGACCUCCUGCCGCAAUGGAGGAGCCCGGAGCGGGCACGCGCGGGCGGGAGGAUCGUGCUGCUGACGCCCCGCGGUUGCGGGGAGCGGAGGAAGCUCUGUCUGCGGCCACGGCUCCUGAACCGGCCACCGCCGCAGAGAUAUGCGGUGCUCCGGAGGCUAGAUUGUCCACAGAGGUAGACAAAGAUGAAGGGGGAGAUUUUUCUGUUGGAUUGGUGCCUCCUGCCGAGGCUGUUUCUGCCUCGACUGAAGGGAGAAGGUUUCAGAUAGGACAGGUGAAGGGUUCUAGUUUGGAGCAGAGGGUCAUGGACGUGGAGGAAGAGAAGGGAGGUAGUUUGGCUCCCGCGCUGCAGAGUUCUGCUGAACCUGGCGGUUUGCAGACGUGUCAUGAGGCCAUUGGCGGUUUGUUCAAUAAGUCAUUAUGUGCCCCCUGCGGCGAAGCUGUCUGUCCCAAGGACACGGGAUGCAUGGAUGACAUGUUGGAGGAAAUGGCAGAUGGUAACCAAGGUGAUUGGGGUGGCAAGGCAACUCUAGAAGAUUUACGGAUUGCUUGGGAUGAAGCACAACGUAGUCAUGAAGGCUUGUUGGGUUCAAUGAGUCAUGGUAGCGAGCAAGAGGCACGUGCCGUUGAUGGCAUAGGAUUUAUCACGGAUGCUAAUGAUGAGCUGCAACAGGAUGCUUUGAUGCCAGAUAUUGAAGCUGAGGUUUCCAAGCCAGCACACGAGGAUUUGGUUCCUUCCAUUUCAGGGGGCAUUGAUCUUUCUUUAGAUGGAAAGAUGGGUCAGUUUGGUGGAAUAUCUGGUGAUUCAAUGACGUGCUAUGUGUCUGAUGGAGGGGUGCAGAAUGACGGUUUAUGUGCCGCUGGAGGUAAAGGAUCUCAGUUGAUUGAUGCUAGUAUGUAUGACACGGUGGACAUGGCAACAGAGGGAGGUCCAUGUCAGCAGGGCAUUUUGGCAGGUGGGAGAAGUGUUUUGAGCGGUGUUGUGGAGGAUUCAAUAACAUGUUACAACGAACCACAGAGUGGUAAUGAAGGUUUGCCAGAUUUGGUAAAUCGUGAUAUUGAGCAGUUGCCAUGCAGCAUUGGUGCCACGUGUUUGAAGAAAAAUGCUAACCAUGAUCUUGAAAAGGAUGGUUUGUCACCAAAAGUUGGUGCAGAUAGCUCUUGGACCUUGCAUGAAGAUUCAGUUCCUUCAGUUUCAGGUAGUAGUCCUGCUGUUUCUUUAGCUGGCAAGACUUGCCAGAUUGGUGAAUUAUUUGAACAUAGGUCAAGCAUGGGAAACGUGACUUGUAGUUCAGAAGUAUGUGGUAUGUUUUCUUGUGAGAGUGCAUUUCACAAAGAGGCUCCUGGAGAUGAGGGCCGGUGUUCUGGAAGGAAGGUAAACACAAGUGAAGAGGACUUGCGGACAGAUUGGAUGGAAGCAGCCCAUGACAAUGGGUACUUGUCAGGUACGGGGAAGCAUCACUCUGAGAAAUUGUCAUGUGGUGCUGAUGGCCUGCCAUUGAUAACUGAUGCUAAUCAUGAGCUGGAAAAGGUUGGUUUCUUGUCAAAUAUAAAUGCAGUAGCGUCCUGCCCAGUUGAUGAAACUUCAGUUCCUUCUGUUUACGUGAACUCCAUUGAUGUUCCUUUGGAUGGGCAGGUUGGUCAGGCUGUUGAUACAUCUGAAAAUAGUGCAGGCUUUGAAAAUUUGGGUUGUGAUUCACUGGGAGGGGAUAUGAUGUCGUGUGACAGUGGCCUUCGGACGGAGGCUUAUGGUGAUGAGAAUCAGCAUUCUGGCCCUUGUGCUGAUAAAGAGUUGCAACAUACCCCUCUAAAAUAUGGAACCUCUGAACAAUCCCCAGAGGAAAACCUGUGUGUUUCUUCGUAUAACCAACCUUGUGACGAUGAACCUUGUAGUGGCAAGGAAUCAUCUGCUCUAUGCCUGGGUCAUCAAGAUUCUGCUGUUGGCAGAUCUGGCCAUUUGGACCAAGGGCUCAAUGCCUGUAAUUGUGCUGAUGACAGUUCUGUUGAUUUUGCCAGCAAUGCUAAUGAUGGAGGAUCACCAAACCAAAAGCUGGCAGCAUUAAACGUAUUCAGCAGACGUAGGAAUCCAAAAAGAGCUGCUUCAUCAAGAAAAGAUUCUGAGAGGCCGGGUCAAACAAACCAAGCAAGCAGCGGCACACGCAAACCUAAAAAGGUUGAUGUUGUGAGCUCAUUACAUCAAACCACCAUGAGUCUGUUCCCAAACAAAAUUGCCAAGGGAAGAAGUGGCAUGAACAGGCCACCAAAACCCUCUACUUGGGGCAGUCUAAAAGAGCUAUUAGAUGGUUUCUGUCAAAGCAAUCGACCAUCGAUUUCUAAUUCUCAUCCAACUUGCCUGGACAAAGGAGGAUCAGAUAAUAGAUCUGAUCAGAAAAGUCAGCCAAGUAUUCGGAAAAGUCGAAGUUCAAGAUCUUCAAAGAGUAAAUGCUCUUCCUUUUCUGUUACAGGGCAUGCAGCUAGUGAAUUGAAUGGGCAACCAGCCUUUUCACCUUUGGAUGAUACUGAUGUUUCUUUGGAAAGUCACAGAGAAAACAUUCCAAAGUUGUCUUCUGAUACAUCAAUUAAUAUUUAUGAUAGUACACGCAAUACUGCAGAGUCUACUGCCAGUUAUCGCACAGUGAAAUCAAAGUGUAUCCAGACUGAGGCGCAGCAGUUGGAAAGGGCCCUGGUGAAUUCUACUAAAGAAACAUGCGCUGCAGAUGUCCAUGGAGAGUGUGCUAAGCUUUCAACUUCUGAACCUUCUUUGACUAAUGCCAAUGGCAGCGUCAUGCUGCAUGUUGGAUUUUCGCCGGAUUCUGUUUUGGAGGUGGCUUCUGUUACAUCUGAAGGUAAUGCUUCUGCAAGCCAUGAUGUUAUGCUACAUGAAAACUCAACUGAUACUGGUGCACUGAAUGUUGGUGGUUAUCAUCCAUCCGUUUUAACUUCCAACUUUGGAAAAGAACAAGCUUUAUUAUCAUUGAUGGACUUGGAGCAGCAGGUUAAAACCACUUUGCUUGAGGACACCAGAAAGGAUGAGAACACCAGAAGGGAAGAUAUGGUAGACAAUGAUGUUGGUGAAGGAAAAGCGCAAGCUUUACAGAGGUCUAAUGCAGUGAGGAAAAUCAGUAUUGCCAGAAAGCCAGGUUGCAAAAAGAAAGAUGGAUCUAAAGGGAAAAGAAAGAAUGUUAUAGGAUCCACCAAUAUUUCUCCAUGUGAAGGUUCAAAACUUAGGCCAUUUUCUAGCAAUUCAAUUUCUCCUGAUCCAUGUGAGGCAAUUCUUCGCACGGGGCCUCCAGAGUUCAGUCCUUUUGAAACCCUAACUUUUGGCACACAAGAUCGUGCUAUUUAUGAACACGAUAGCAUACUGAGUCAUUCUGUAAUGGAUGGUAUUGACAGUAUGAAAUCACCAAGACGCAAGAAAAAGGAUGCUAACGCAGGAAAGAAGGGUAAGGCGCGGGAUCCACAUAAGAAAGAAAAAAGUAAGAAGAAAAAUAUAGCAGAUGACAGUUCCUUUGAUCAUGGACUUCUAAAUUUGCCCUCAUGUGAUUUGGCAGCAUCUCAUAUGAAUGAACAGAGUGCGUCUCGUUUUCUUUGUGAUUAUCAUUUGUUUCUUUUCCAUAACAAGUAGCUUCAGAAGUAAUUUACAUUCUCAUUUUACAUAGGUAAUCUUGAUCCUGCCACUGAAUUUGGACUCAAGAACUCUGGUGCCAUAUCUAUUGAUUUACCUGGAAAUGUUGCCUGCAAAACGGAUGGGGCAUCUUUACCACCACCACCACGUGCUGCAUGGGUGUGUUGUGAUGAUUGCCAAAAGUGGCGCUGCAUACCUGCUGAUCUUGUAGAUGUCAUUGGAGAAACAAGAUGGUAAUAAUUUUCCUUCCUGUUAUCUCAGUUAUCAACUUUUAAUGGUUGCACCAGCCUGCUAUUCUAAUUAGGCUGCACCGCACUGCCCUCCUAUCCAAUAGGUCUGUAUGAUCUAUUUUGGAAACUUUUUUUUGUCUUAUAUUUUUUUGGUUUUUAGGAGGCUAAUCCAAAAUCACUAACUCAAAAUAGAAAAAGUGAAAAACUGAUCCUAACCACAUGGAUCACUUCAUUUUUUUUUCUGUCUUAUAAAGCGGACAGGCCAAUUUGACCUUUUCAAGUUGUGUGAACUUUCGUUUGGUAACAUCUGAUUGCACUUUCUAGAGGAAUGAAGUCGCUCCUUGUAUGUUGGAUAUACUUUUGUUCAAAUUAUUGUUCCAUCCAUGUUCUAUACCUUUUCCUGAAUAGUCCAAUUAUUGUUCCAUGUGGAUGCUACAAUGGUACCUGUGGGUUCUAACCCAGCCGUGGAGCAGAAAUUGCCAUCUGUAUCAUAAAACCUAAAACCUGUUCCUGAGACAGCUACACCAAGCCUGGUUUUGGUUUGGUUUCAGAUGGAUUAAUCCAAAGAAAUAAGCGUGGAACCGCCGAUAAGCAAACUAAUGUGACUUGUGAGGUACAACAAUUAUUAGGAUAUAAUCGAGUUAGAGCUGUAGCUAUGAGGGCUACAGACGGGUCGAUGAGAGGAAUGUGACUUCUACAUUUAGUUUUUGAUAAUUUUUACUGGCACAUCAUCAGAAUAUAUGCCAUUGUCUCUGACUCUGCCAAACACGUCCUUCUCUUGACUAGAUGAUUUAGCAUGAGAAUUGUCCUAGGCGGUUUUUGAUUUACAAGUUUGGUGUAGACACUAUUUAGUUUUGUUACGUAUACACCAUACUUUGUCACGCCUGGUAAAGCAAAAGAACUAGUAAGAUAGGAGAACUGGGAUAGGUUGAUGGGUUGGCCCAACCAGGUCAACUUGCAUACACCAUCCGUUUCUUGACUAGAGUGUGUAUGAUACACAUGUAGAGGAUAGCCAUUGGCGAUCAUAGCUUUAUAAUUUUGUUGUAGACAUUUUUCUUGGAAGUUGCACCAUGUUCACCUCUGUUUCUUCAUCUUCUAUGCUCUUCCUUUUGCUGUGGGGCCCACCACGCCUUCAGAAUUACAUUUGAGAUGUUAGCCCACAGCUUGCUUGAUUCUGCUAUGGAUUUGCACUCAUCUUUUAGAGAAGAAAACCUACUAAUGUAACAGUUUGGAAACCUCACGACCUAUCAUGUGUUACUACCACUAUCUUCAAAUCUCUACUUUAGAUCUUCCACAAGUUCCUUCUAUUCUUGUAUCUUGAUUUAUUCCAUUCAGUCAUGUGUUUUGCAUGCCCAUCUUUUUUUUAUGUCUGAUUGAUCCUCUCCGCCCCCCCCCUUUUUUUUUUUUACUAUGAAGGACUUGUAAGGACAAUGGAGACAAAGCAUUUGCUGACUGUUCUAUUCCACAAGAAAAGACAAAUGCUGAGAUCAAUGCAGAACUUGACCUUUCGGAUGCUUCAGCUGAUGAAGCAGAUGAUGGCAGAUCUAACUCCAAAGGUUUUGAAAUCUCUUCAUCCUUUUUAUUUUCUUCGGUACAAAUUUUGUUCAUUAUAAUGUAAAAUAAUUCCUUAUGUGUUACCACAUCUGAUUUUGUUACACUUUUGUUGUUGGGUAGCUGUCAAAGCACCAUCAUGGACGUCUAUAAGGUCAAACUUGUUUCUGCAUCGGAACCGCAGGACACAAUCCAUUGAUGAGGUUGUGGUGCUGUCCACCUAUUUCCCCCCUCGAUUUGACUUUUUUAGCUAUUUUUCUUUAUGGACAGUGUUCAAGAAAAAAUAUUUUUCUUUAUGGACAUGUAGUUUCUGCCACUAUAGAUUCUCUUUCAUAUGUCCAUUUGCAGGAUAGGUAGGGAAAUUUUACUCACAAAGUGCAUAAAACGCUUACAAUUGUACUGUUGGCAGUUACUCACACACCUUUUGGUUGCAAGAUAUUUUAACCAUCCACCACCAUCAAAUCCUCCUAUCAUUCAUGCGAUCCGUGUUGAAUGAAACUAUCUUGAACCAUUCUACAAAAUAUAUUGAUUCUUUGUUGUACUCCUUGCACUUGAGUACUUGCUGAAAUUUUGAAGGAUGCCCUAGUUUUCUACUUUUCUUAUGUUUUUCAUUAAUUAUGAUCAGAGCAUGGUGUGCAACUGCAAGCCUCCUCAAGAUGGUCGACCGGGUUGUAGAGAUGGCUGUUUGAACAGGUUGCUCAGCAUUGAAUGCGUCAAGCGUACAUGUCCAUGUGGAGAACAAUGUUCUAAUCAGAAGGUCAUUGCUUUCUUGGCUAUCCUUAAUAAGUUCCUGUUUUCCAUGAUACAUUGGUUUUGACAGUAAAAUCUUUGAAACAGUUUCAGCGACGCAGCUAUGCAAAACUGCGAUGGUUCCAGUCUGGCAAGAAAGGUUAUGGACUGCAGUUGCAAGAAGAUGUUACUGAAGGAAGGUUUCUUAUUGAGUAUGUUGGAGAGGUACUAUUGCCGUCUGUUUAUUUCCAUUGAACAUAACCCGACUUUUAAAAUUUUAUCAUGUUAGUGUGAUGAUAGUUAAUCAUGACUAAUGAGUUCUUUUGGCUCUGUACUGCAAUGUUCUCUCAGGUCCUUGACAUAACAUCUUAUGAAUCCCGCCAAAGAUAUUAUGCUUCCAAAGGCCAGAAACAUUUCUACUUCAUGGCCUUAAAUGGCGGUGAGGUAAACAUUUUGUCCAUUAACUAUUUCUUAUUUUCUUCGGAUUUACUCUUUUAUUCAGUAUCGCAUUAGGUUUUACUCACUGCAUUUCUUACCACAAGUCUUAUUUUGGUCUAGACUAGACUUUGUAUUCAGUGAGGAACUAUCAGAUCACCUCCCUUUAUUCCUUUCCCUCUUUAUCUAGUGUAUAUGAUGUUGACUUUAAAUGUGGCACUUACUUUUCUUAAGCCAUCCAUCGUGAUGUUGACACACCUGAAUAAAUUCCAUUGUUCUUUCUUUUAACUGUUUGGUUUGAAUUCUUCCAGGUAAUUGAUGCUUGCACUAAGGGAAACUUGGGCCGAUUCAUCAAUCAUAGUUGCAGCCCUAACUGUCGCACAGAGAAGGUUGACUUUAAUUUCACUAAUUUUUGUACGUGUAUAGUUGACUAUGUUUCUUGCCAAUAAAUCCUUAUUUGCUGAAACUUUCAACAAAAAUAAAAUAUAUUCAGUUCUUGAUAUAGUGAUAAAGAUUUUUACUCUCACUCUGAGUUUGCUAAGUUGUGUUCUUUUUUUUUGAUAGUGGAUAGUCAAUGGAGAAGUCUGCAUUGGAAUAUUUGCUAUGAGGAACAUCAAGAAGGUAAGGCUAGCAUUCUCACAAACUGGAAACAGUGUGCGGGUUGGCUUGCUUUAUUUAUAUUUUGAAUUCAAUGUCAUAUUUUGGCAGCUGUCACAGCAUGUAACGGGUGUUUUUUUAAUUUUUUCAAGGGUGAAGAAUUGACAUUUGAUUACAACUAUGUUCGUGUAUCUGGUGCUGCCCCUCAAAAAUGCUUCUGUGGUACUGCCAAAUGUCGGGGUUACAUUGGUGGAGACAUAUCAGUUGAUAUUAUCACCCAGGAUGAUGCAGAAGCAGGGCAUGUUGAACAAAUUGUUCCUGACAAAGAUUCUGAGGAGUUGAUCGGUGCAAAUGGUUCUGAUCCUGAUGGUAGUCAUCCGAAUAUUGCAGAACCUGAAUUUUCUAUUGAAGGGGAAGAUUUACAUGAUUGCUCAGCUGGAAAAGCAGAGUUAGAACCCCUUGAUCAAACUGGAGGAACCCUAAUUGAAACUAGUGAGCCCGAAAAUUCCUUGGAAGCAUGGAGCCCGCAGGAAGAUGAAGAUGUCAUCCGCACGCCUGUGCAUGUGUCACGAACAUUUGAAAGUUCUUUGCAGCAGUUCCCAGUACAUGGCCCUCAGUCAUCAGAUCUUUUGCAAAAGACUGCAAAAUCAGCUGAAGGAUCAAAAGUUCCAAAUGGAUCAACACCUAGUUUUGAUUUCCAAAGCAAUCUGGUGCCUGGUCUCAAUGCUAGACACAACUUAAAACAACAUAGAAAUGUGAAACCACAAUCAUCAUCUCCAAUUGACAAUGAGCACAUCUUGGGAGGUAAUACUAUUCUGCCCCAUGCUUUGCUGUCCCUACUUUGGCUAAAAUGUGAUAGUCUUAGUGAUCUCUCCUUGGUAUAUAUAGUUGAAGGGAGACUGAACAACCUUCUGGAUGGGAACGGAGGUAUCAGCAAGCGAAAGGUAUGAAACCAUCAUUAUACCCUUUAUUGUACAUAAUCUAGAGUACCUGGUUUGUACACGAGAUAAUUUUGUUCAAAGUUUUGUGGGUGAUUCUAAUUAUGAUGCAAUCUCCAUGUGCUGGACAAGAAAGAACCAUUUAGAUCUGACACUGUCAUGAAAGUUUGGAAGGCACAUGGCUUUAUAUUAUUAGGACUACGAUGGUGGUGCUCUCAUAUCUGGGGUAGCUCAAGAACAUAGUGCAUAAGUUAUAUGGCGUUUCAUACAAUUUUUUGGUGUACAGAAGCUCAGGAACAUACUUUAUUAAACUGGUACUUGAAUUUCUAGCAAAAUCAGACCUCUUAGGCUUGAAAUCCAUAUUGAUUGCUUUAGGGCAUGUUUGGAUCUCUCAUGGGCCUCGCCUAACCAGACGACCUAAUACCUAGCUCAUUCGAGGCAAUGCCUUGCAAGUGAGCUUCUUGUUUGGUUCCUGGGUGUAACUGCAUGGCAAUUCAUGUUCUCUGCAGCAACCGCUCACUUGCUGUCGAGGGUGAGCGAAUUCAGCUCGCCUAGCUGGGCAAGCAUUUUCUUCCCGCUGCAGGCGAGCUUGCCUCCAGAAAUUAGAUUUUUUUAGCGUUACCCAAUGCCUGACCUUGCUAAGCAACACUAGGAUGGAUUUUGCUGUAUAUCCAAACGCACCCUUAAUGACAUGAAAGUUGCCUAUACGUGCAUGGCUUGAACUUGGCUGUCUCUGCUGUUGGCACAUGUUUCAUGCUAGCACUAAUAUGGAUUUUUCUUGUUGCAUCAUUUAACCUGGGUGCAAACAUUAGUUAUCAUUCUAUAUUUUUAUGUUCUAACUAGUAGAUUUUCUGGAGCAGGAUACCACAAAUGGAUACUUGAAGCUUCUCAUUGUGACUGCAGCAGGUGACAGUGCUGGGGGCACAUCUAAAAGGUUUGUUCACCAGAUGACACGUGAAUCAAGCCUUCCUCUCCCCUAAAUAUGCUAACUUUUUGUAUCUCUUUCAGUGUGAGGGAUCUUUCAUUGAUUCUUGAUGCACUUUUAAAAACAAAAUCAUGUUCCGUCCUGUUGGAUAUCAUCAACAAGAAUGGUAUAUUUCCUUGCCUUCAACUCCCUGUAUGGAAAUUCUUUAGUCACCGUCUAAGAAUCUUUUUGUUCUAUUUUAUGGCAGGAUUGCAAAUGCUUCAUAAUAUGUUAAAGCAGAAUAAAACCGACUUCUAUCGAAUACCUAUUAUACGGAAGCUUCUGAAGGUCUGCACAUUCUCUAAUACAAUUUAUGUAUUCGUGUCAUCAGCUGCGACAUCCACAUGUUGUAUGGCUUCCAGUUGACAUAUAUAUUCACAUUACUCCCUCUGUUCACGAAUAAGUGAGUUUUGGAUAGUGACAUGGUCACCAAAACACAUUGCUAAGUAUAGAAUAAAUGCAAAAAUACAGCGAGGUUAUAAUAUUUUGAGUACGAUAUAAUCAGGGGUGUAUCACUGGUGCUACUUUGUGUAUGAUUAUUGGCAUCUUCUUUCAGGUACUGGAGUUUCUAGCUGAGAAAGGAAUUUUGACAUCUGAACACAUAAAUGGAGGUCCUCGAUGUGCUGGUGUCGAAAGGUUAGCUUAUUUAAACUUCUUUAUUCCACUUUUAUCUGGUACUGAUUGAAGAGUUUCAUAUUCAAUUUAUUUUAUAGGUCCCAUUAAGUUUUUGUGUGUUUUGUUUGUGUUAUGCCUUUUUCACCUGAACCAGCAUUGGGUUUACUAAAAGAAACGAAAUGAAAUCCUUCACUUGGAGAAAAAUAACUUCUUGCUUGUAAUGUUCUAUUCUUAUGCAAUCGGGACACAAUUUUAAAAUUGUACGUGUUGGUUUUAUCUAUUCACUGCUUACUAAACUAAGUCUUUCUAGUGACAUGCUUCGUGAAAUUUAACAGUGCUCUAUAAUAGUCCCUACCUUUGUUCCUUUUGAAUAUUUAAUCAAGAUUCAAUUUUCUAUAACUUCAUCUGGGACUUGCACUGCAGCUUCAGAGACUCGAUGCUGAGCUUAGUCAGACACAGGGACUUUCAGGUAAUGGACAUACCAUGCUAAUGCAUCAUUUCAGCUUUGUUUUGGAAAUAUGUUUGUAGUUAUACUUCUUUGCUAGAUUUCAAAUGCAAAGCAACUAUGUGUGAAAAGUAGAUAACUUUUGACAACUAAAAUGGCCACCACACUUGUGACAAACCUAGUUAAAGAGCGAGUCUUGGUCUGUAGGUUGAACAUGUGAGAUACCAAAAUUGUUGCAAUAAACCAAACAACUACCUAGGAAAGUGUGGCAAAAAUACAAUUACGAUUAGUCAUGAUUUUGAGCAAUCAUGAUAAAGUUAGGUUGCAUGGUUAAUUUUUGUACCAAUGCAUAGAAAACUGGCAACCUUUGGAGAUAUUUUCAAAAGGAAAGUGUCACUAUAAGCUGACAUUGUAUAUGGGCAUUUUACCAUAAUUGGCAACUGGCAUGGGUUGUCAGAUUUAAACCUGAACAUAUGUUCCUGUUCCUAAACCAGUUCCACAUCCAGUAAUAACGUAUCAAGCACUGCUCUUUUAUGAAAUAGUGUGUCUAUGAUUUAGCAGUUUUGGUGUAGCCCCUGUUGACAUAUUUUAUUAUUAGUUUUCUCAUAAGAAUUUCAUGCGAUUUUUAUCUGCAUGUAUGCAAUCCUUAAUUUAUGAAUGUGCAUGACGCCUUGCAACAGGUUCAACAGAUUGCUCGGAGCUUUCGUGAUAGAUGGAUCCUCCAUAAUACUGCAAGGAGUGAACCAACAGAAUAUCCACAUACAUCCACAUUUGCACAGGAUAUCCAUAGAACUAAUAUGGUCUGGAGUUCUGCUAGGAGGAAACGCAAGAGUCGUUGGGACUAUCAACCUGAUGAGCACUAUAAGAUGGUGGGACAAAAUAUCCAAAAGGUUUGUUCUGGGCAUGGUGGAUUUGAUGUUCAAUUUGGCUUCAUGAGAAACAAGUUGCAGAGGAACCAGGGAACAGACAACUGCCAUAAUGAUGUCCAUGGCAUGGGGAGUUCAACAGAGGGUGCAGAUGAUGAAGUGCCACCUGGGUUUGAGCCCCAACAGGAGUGUCAGCCUGCGCAACUUUCCAUAGGCAGUGAUGUUGCUCCAGGACUUUGCAUGGAGAGGUACCAACCUAGCUUGAGUGUUUCAUAUGGGGUUCCCGUCGCUCUUGUUCAGAACUUUGGAACCCCUGAAUCUGAAGGAGGCCAAGGCCACCAAAAAUGGAAAGUUGCACCUGGUGUGCCUUUUAGUCCCUUUCCACCAUUGCCUCCGUACCCACGAGGGAGUCCUUGUCCCUCCACUUCGUCAUCCCAUAUGUUUCAGCAUGAUGGAACAUCCCCGGUGAACCAUAACAUUUCUGGACAUUGUGGUGGAAGGACCACGGGCCGAGAUGGAAAAGUGCAUAGGACGUGGCGGAAUGGGCCAAGAACAAAAUGGCCAUACCAUCAUCAAGGAAGGAGGUUUCCGAGCAACCAUCAUAGAUUUGAAAGAUUCGAGCCUCCAAGACCUCAAUAGUGGUGAUUUAGGAUUCAGGGCAGCGAUUGGCCUAGUCCUACAGUGUUCUAACCUCAAGUAGUGGUGAUAUACAUGGUGACUCCUGCUCAGAAGUGUAACAGAAAUUGUGUCAUCCUUUAACUAUGUUUAUUUAACAGGGAGUGUAACUGUCCGUUCUCUAGGUGUAGAACAGUUGCUGCACAUAGGUCAUUGCCAUUGCAGCUUUGCUACUAAUUAAUUAUCAUUGGUUUUUAUUCUCCCAAUGUGUAAUCUCAAUAGGAAUAAUUGAUUUGAUUUAAUCUUUUUUACAGGUGAAAAGUCUAACCGAUUGUACCCAUAAUUCCCUCUCUCACUCUGCUGUCUCUGGUUCCUCCCUUUCCUUUUUUUACCUUUAUUUGUCUGCUGCAUCUUGUGUUUCAAGCAUUGCGAUUGCAGCUCUGCCGCAAGGUUCCUUGUUGGCUCUAUAAAGGUUCAUGUUGUAGUUUGUUUCCUUUGCUGCUGAGUUCUUUAGUAGGAAGCCAAUGUUCAUUUUUCGGAUUUUGUACAUGGAACAUCAGUCUUUUGAACUGCCCAGUUUCUUGGAGUGCUCCUAGUUUUGAGACCGCCUGCUACUUCUACAUUACGGCACUUGGGUUUUUUCCUGAUGUAGCUGAAGCUGACCCUCCAUCAAGCACUCUUGUGCUGUAGAAGCACGCAUGAACUAGCAUAAACUGUCGUGGUAUGCCAGGUAAGAAGUCCCGAAUCUAAAUCUGAUUUCAUAUUCUUAAAAAAUAUAUAUUUUUUUGUUCAAGUCUCAGACCAGCCCAAAUUUGCUACUGUCUCAUGUUAAUGGUGUUGCAUUUUGAAACAGCUACGCUGAAGAACUUGGACGAUUGUAACCUGGGAUAUGGCUGGUGAGAUAUUUGAUGUCUGGGUGUCAGGUUUGCAUACCAUAAGACUUCUAUACCAUGGCCCUUACUCUUUCACUAGUUUCCAACUUGAGAAGCUUAAGCCGUUUUGUUUUGUUGCGUGAAUAUUAUUCUUGCUAUUUUUUAAUCUUAUUUUCCAUACGCUCUUUUUGGCAUGCCAUCCCGGUGUAUAUUCGCUAUGAAAUGACUGAUGAGAAGCUGGACUAUAUAUUGCUCAGAAACAUGUAACAACGCAGACAUGUUAGCAUAUUGCUGCCUUAGAAGCAUGUUCUCUCUUCCCAUAUUGUUAAGCAUGUCUGUCGUCUCUUGAUUUUUUUUGCUCGUAUUACUUUUUACUACCGUGGGUUGCAGCUAUUUUCAAAUUUUACUCCGUUCCAAAUUCCUCCGUUCCAAAUUGUAGGUCAUUUUAGCAUUUCUAGAUUUAUAACUUUUACUACGUAUCUUAUAUAGUACUACGUAUCUUAUAUAGAUCUAGGUGCAUAGCAAAAGUAAUGAACAUAGAAAUAUCAAAAUGAGAUAUAAUAUACAUCUAGGUGCAUAGCAAAAGUAAUGAACAUAGAAAUGUCAAAACGAAACAUAAUAUACAUCUAGACAUAUAAAUGUCAAAACGAUAUGCAAUUUAGGACGGAGAGUAAUUUAUUUGUUACAUUUUGUGACCGAAGUACCUAACUAAUAAUAAAGCAACGACAAACAUAUUACUACAAUGCUGCAGAAUAAGACUGUUUUCUUAAUCUUCAUCAAUUCAAAUUUGAAGAUGGUGCAUUUCUACGGUUAAUAUGGCUUAGGUUCAGAAUUUAAUGAAAGUGGUAUAAUGUUGUAGAUGUUAAACUUGGUCAAAGUUAGAGAUGGUUGAUUUAUGAUGAAUAACGACCUACAUUUUAAAAAAAGACAUACAUUUUAAGAUGGAUGGAGCAUUGACUAAUGGAUAUAACCAAAAACAAAGAUGAUUAAACAAGGACUCGCUAUGCUAGCGGUGAACACAAGAUGUUGAGACAUUUUUCCACGAAAUGAUCUGUCUACUAUGCAAAAUAAUAUGCAACCACAUUAACCAAAGCCAAAAUGAGAACAUAGGAGUAUUAUUAGAAGUUCCCAUAAAACUAUGUGAUGAGAAAACCAAGAGGCACACCGCACACCCAAUCAACUUUUGGUAAAGAUGAAAUCAGCACAGAAAAAAAGAAAAGACCACCUAGACCAUUCUCAAUGCAAAGUUUCAUAUUUAUGUUUCCAAGAGUGCCACAUAAGUAAGAAUGUAUUUAGUUGAUAGAUGAAAUAGCUCAUCCAAUGCAUAGUUUCAUCAUUUGUUGUUUCUAAGGCUAUAUGCAAGACACAAAAUUCUUGAAAACAGUGUACACAUGGUUUCAUUCCCGUGAAACUACUUCCUUUUCUCACCUCAUAAAUAGUAUACCAUGUCAUCAAAAUUGCUUUUAUUUAUUAUUCAUAAAACUUCCAUUGAGAAUGACCUUGCUGGCUGCUUUGGAUGACCAGUGUCAUGGUGCCAACUCAGCCAACGGCGCCCUACGGCCACCAUCUCUGGGACAAGAUGAAGCGAGGCACCAGAAUGUGUUGGUAUUUAUGUUGGCUAAUUAUUCUUAGUGACAUGUGAUGUGCCCCUCUUUAGUAAGAUGCUCAUGGUGACGUUAUCAAUCUUAAAAUCUACUAGCCGAGACGUGUGUAUAGGUGGUAUAAAAGCGCAGGAUUACCGAAAUUUGCAUAUGAACCACAAGAUAAACCAUAACAUGAUACCAUGACAGUUUGCCGAAUCCUUCUGUCAAGAAGGGUUGGUCUAGUCUGCAUCCAGUUGAGUUCAACUAGUCUAAAAGGUGCGUAGCUCAGUUGUUCUACAAGCAAGCUGAGGAUGCUUAACUUCAGCCUGAGACGGAAGAGGAAGACCAAAGCUAUCAUUUAUCCCUUCCAGAAUUGGAGACAACCUUGAGCAAGUCUCGAACCAAAAUUGAAUAGUGAACAUGCUCGAUGAUCUCAGUGAUCAGACUUGGCAAACUCUAUGGAAUUUAUCUGCAACCGGAACAAACACUAAGUCAGUAGCAACUGCUAUUCUACCACUGCUGCAGAGCAUUGUUCAGCGCUUUCAAUUCAAGUAAGAUAGGCGUUAACCAAAUACUCCAUCCGUAAACAAACCACUGCUCAAGUAAGCAUCCAACCAAAUACUUUUCAUGCGUGUGUUGCUACGGUGAAUUUUUUUGUUAGUACAUCUCUAAAGGAAUACCCUCCUGUUUCCUAAUGAUCCUUAAAACAACAAUCAUGAAGGCCUAAGCCCACCUGCGAUAAUGGCUGGCAGACGAGGGCGCGGAUCUCGUUAGCCCCUCGCCAAUCUUGCCAUAAAUGUGCCGCGGUUCUGACGCACAGAAAGGCGCCCGCACCCCUCGACGUGACCGUCACGAGUACCCGGGAGGGACACUGUAGCCACGACCGCACAUGCUACAGUGGUCGUGGCUUCCCCUAGUUCGUCGUGAGGCACUCAUGGCCUGCACCGCCCGGCACAGGAGGGACCUCCGCUCGUUCACGCGCCCCGCGUAUCCGGUGACAAGGACGCGACAUCCAGAUAGGGGUCAGCCGUCUCCCCCAACAUGCACGGUUGCCACAACCGAACAUCAUCAUCAUGCUUGGCGGCAGCGGUCGUCAGGAAGAUCAUUGACAAGAUCCAAAGGCAGCCGCCCUCUUCCGGUGGAUGCGCUGAUAGGAGCCGAAGGCCGGAGCAGGAGGCGGCGACCCGGGAACUUGAUCCUUCUCCUUGUAUUUUACUUUACUUAGCUUAUCUCUUUUACUUCUCCUCACGCCUGGCUGAUCUGUAACCCUGAGCACUCCUUGCGCUAUAAAAGGAGCACCAGGGGUCCUGAGAUGAGAGGACUCUCUCAAGCCAACAGAACCCACACACCCACCUUUAGAGCAUCAGUGCACACCCAAGAGACUUAGGGCCGGUUCCCUCUCUCGCCCAUCUGUAACCCCUACUACAGACCCCGCGUGGGCAACUCGAGCAGCUCCCCAUACUGGACGUAGGGCUUUCCUUGCCCGAACCAGUUUAACCCCGUGUCUUCCCACACCACCAUCCGAAGCCUUACGCGCAUAAAAGAAAUUUACUAGCCGUAGUCUCGAUCCGCUAAUCUUGCCAAUGACACCUCCUCACCUCCCCACCUUCCUCCUCCUCAUCGUCGUGCGCUCACCCUCUACCUCCUCAACGGGGCCUUCCUCGCCGUCUCCGCCGGCACCACUGCCUGGUCACUCUACCCGGCCACCGCCACCAGGAGGACAGUCGACGUCACGUCCCCGGAGGCCUGGCGCACCCGCCAAUGGUGCAGGGUCGUUAAAUACCACACCGCCCUGCUCGCUGACCACCUCGCCCAGGACAUCCUUGCGCCGGCCUCCCGCGCCGUCUGCCUCGGCGGCACGCAGGAGGCGCUCGCCAUGCGGGAGCUCGAGGUCGCCACCGCCAUCGCCGUCCACAAGAAGUGCUCUCCGCCGCUCGUCACCAGUCACGACACCCACCUGCCCUUCAACACCAACUCCGUCGGCUUUGUCUUCGCCGGCCGUGCUCUCGACACCGCCAAGCGCCCGGCAGACCUCGCUGCCAAGGCCGCGCGCAGGGGCAGUGUGGGGCAGCGGUGGGGCGCCCCGCUCCAGCCGCCGCCCGCGCCCAAUCCCCCUCCUUCGCCUCUCUGUUUUGAAGAAAGGAGAAGAUUUUUUCUCUCCCUUCCCUCCUUUUCCACUCGAGGCCUCCCUCUCUUCAGAAUUUGAACUGCAGGUUGAUUCCAUGAAAGUUGAGAGAUUUUUUUACAAAAUGACCACGUGCCUAUACAUCAUUAGUGUGAGUCCUUUUUGCAGGCUGAAAUGGAACCGGUAGGGAUAUAUAGUUAUCUCCGCGGCUCUACAACCCUCGCGUGGUUACCUCACUCGCUACUAAAAUUUAGAAUGGAGGAAGUAUAUGGUUUGGUAGUAUGUACAGAAACAAGUACAAGAACAUUUUAGCAUCAGGUGGAAUUCAUCUUGGUAGAACAUACCUCUCCUACCAAGCACGAACAUGAACUUGGUAUUACAAAGCAGCAUCAACACCAAAACUCUCUUAGGCCCCCCAUCUAGAACAAAUGGGAAUUUCGCUGGAUUUCUACAGGAAUCGAAUUGUUCCAUGCAAACAUUAUUCCCAUAAAAUCCUUGCGAAAUUCCCACGUUACAGGCUGGCAAACUGCUGCACCAUGCAGCUUAUAUGAGGCAGACUAUAGUCUUCGACAGAAAUUAAGGUAGGGAAAAGGUUGUCAACAUAAAUAUAAAAACAUCUCUGAGGCUCUGAUGUAUGUACGAGGUCCAGGCCGGGCUUUUGAUCACCUGGACUUGGCUUUCUUGGAGAAGAGCAUGCCCCCAACCAACGAGAUCCCACUCCUCUGCUUCUUGUGCUUCUUCCUGGUUGCAGGCUUGCUCUUGCUGUUCUUCGCCUUCCUCUCCUUCCUGUCUCCCAGGUCAUCCUCGAUCAUCUUGAUGGCCAGCGCCUCCGACAGGCUCGGCAGGUACUCCAGGCUCGCCAUCCACUCCUCGGCCCGGCUCUCGUCCCACCUGUCGCUGCGGACACGGCCAUGGCCGUUGUAUUCUUCCUGUCCGAUGGCCGCCGGUGCGCUGACGACGGCCACCUCCUUACCCUUGCUGAGGCCGGAGAAGACGGCCAGGCCCUUGCUGAACUGCACGCUGAGGCUGGACACGGCCACCUCCAUUUGGGCCUGCCUCUGCCUCAGCUCCACCAGCUCUCCCUUGGCCUCCGCCAAGUCUUCCUCCAGCUUCUUCAGGUAGUCCAGCUCCAGCGCCAUGGACGAGGCCGCUGGAGGCGCGCUAAGCUUGACGCUGGACUCACUGCUCGCGUUGGAGCUGCCGCUGCCACCACCGGCGUACCGCUCGCCGAAGACCUCGACGGCCUGCCGGACCGACUGGAACGGCCGUGAGGUGUCGACCUCGGCGCGGCUCGCGGCGGUCGCCUCCAUGACCAUAGGUGAGGGUGCUGCCAAUGCCAGUGCUGGUGCAACCGAGAUCACUGAUGGGAACACGAUGCACAGGGUGGUGAAGUAGACAUGGUUCCUGGGCUCUGUCUUGGCUUCUACUUCAAACACCAACAGGAGUGGCAGUAGCCGCAGAAUACAGGCCUUGUGUCGAGGUCAAGUUAAAACCGGUAGAGGGGAAGAAGGGGACUUGCCACCAAAGCCACACGAGCUUUUAGAUGUGGAGGCCGGACAAGUCGCUGGAGCAGACAGAGUUUGACAAGGCACAGUAAAAGUGCAGUGCAGAUGCAGUUGGCACACUCGACCAGACAGAGUCAGAGAUGGCAAGUAAAAAUGCAUUUUUUUUUAACAGCAACCACUUUUGCAAAUUGUAAUGCUUCAGGAGGACUUCAAGAAAGCCAACGAAAUUUAUGACCGGUAAUGGAUUUGCACGGCUCAAACUGUUAUAGAGCAGAAAAGUUCAGGUGAUGAACUGACAGCAUAACAGAUUAGCCCUGCUGUACGGACAGCAGGUAUAAGUCUGCAUAUUUAAGUGAGUGUAGGUACAGCUUUCUCAAUCUAAACCCAAGGGAGCAAGGGUAUAGAAUAUUCUUCUAUGAGAAGGAAAAUAGUCAUUGCUGGUGAAUCUGUCAAGAACUCAGCGUGUCAAAUCACAAAUACAAAGCUAAUUGCAAAAAGGCAUGUUCACUUGGUUUUUACAAAUGGGUUCUGUCAAGCAGAUCAUGACAGCCAGGGCCGCAGGAAUUAGAAGUGUGAGAGAGAAGGAAACAAAAGCUUGUUACAAAAAGGAAGAAAGCUUAUUACAAAGGGUAAGUGACGUGCAAAAAAAAUGCAAUACUUAAUCUUCACAAACCAAUGUGUCGACAAGUUUGAUGAAUGAUGAUAAUCUAAAAGGCAACUCACGUGGCGAGCCAAAUGGUUGCUUUGCACCCAUCAAUGGCGUGACUGAUGAAACCGAGGUCGGUUAGUGAACGUUCGACCAUUGGCUUUGACAAAAUGUGUGAUGCCAAUACAAAGACCAGCCCACAGAAGUGACAGCAGCAAGUGGCGAAUAUCAUUCCGGGCUGCAAAGAUAAUUGAGCAAGUUAGCUGUGUACAUCGAGUUACAAUUUCGAUUAGCCAAUAUAGUCUGCCUCAGUACUUAAAGGUUAAUACAUAUUACAAUAGCUAGAACUUUUACAACAUUUAUUAUAGAUUUUGGCUUCACGAAUUUUGGGUGUUUAAACAUUAAAAUAGUACAAAAAAAGAUCAAUAUUGAUGCAGUCUAGUUUUUCAUCCUCAACUUCACAGCUGUUAGCCACAUCUCCUAAAUGCCAAAACCAACGCAGAUUACAUCUCAAGGCUGAUUUCAUGGGCGCUAUAAACACACAAUAAAUUUUGCCAUGUUGACUGGCAUUUCAUCAAUUUGACCAUACCCAUUACGUUGAAUACUGAUAGAAGCAAUAAAAUAUAAAUGUGUGCAAGUGUUUUCCCAUUGGCUGCAUUUAGAUUUUCAUACUCAAACGCACUGCACAAACAAAACAUUAAGGUAGAAUUAAAUAGUAAAGCUCUUUUCCAAAGGGAUGAAACAAAAUGGAACACUAUGGAAAAUUUCCUUUACUUAAUGCAUGGAUUAAGUGUGGAUUGAAAACAGACAGCAAAUGCUUCUUUCUGCCAAUUAGAGGAGAGCCCUGAUCAGCAUAAAUUUAUAGCAGGACACCCAAAAAUAUCUGUUUCAGCAGAGUAAGAAUCCUUACCAUGUCUUAGGGACAUCAUCAUGAACAUCAUAACUCCCAUAACCAAUGCAAAAGCAAGGCGAAAGGACUGUAAAGGAAAAAUUGUAUAAGUUUCGUUCUGUUGGAAAAGAUAAGAAACACAUUCCAGUAGUUGAUCCAGCUGUUUCCCAUAAAUAAAGACUAUAUCAAGUGUGUCGAGAGAUUGUGUAUGCACAUGUGCCUAGUCACAACACACCCAGAAGAACAUCAUAGAAAAUGUGAAUGAUUUCAGAGUAAUUUCCAUUAGCAAUUCAAAAUGCGAUAACUUCAUUUGUAAAGAGAAACUCCAAGCUAUAGCAAAUUGUACCCACCGCAUAAUUCUCUAGAAGUCCUCCUUUUCUUGGCACUGCCAUGUCUCGACUAACAGAUGUCAUGUAAUGUCCUUGAAGAAGGUCCAUGGCAUCCUAUGUAAGAUAAUAAAUAAUUAUUAAGGCACUGCCUACAAAACACCUGAGGCAGAUAUUUUAAUUAAAGGUAAAUUGGAAGAAAUUGAGUUAAAAACAUGUAGCUUGCUUGCAUGAUGUCUGUUAGAUUGUGGACAGUGGAGACAUUUGCACGGAGUUCUAGAGGAUGCAUUGAUCAUAUCUAUCACCACUCAAAUCUAUUAUACAACAUCAUGUAAGCUGCCAUAUCUCAGCAUAAAUUUCAGCACUUCAUUGCUUUGGCUUAAGCCCCACCGGUACUAAUAUAUCAUUAACAUGACAAAUCGACUAAGCUAAGUUAUAGAGAGUUGAUAGUUGGGGCAUCAUCGACAAAAUCAAUGUUUACCUGCUUAGUCCCAUCAACAAAGUUAUUCAAGUAGUAUCUACCAAGUGCAUUCCGCAAAUCAUUCAGAAUUCCCUGAGUAGUUCGCUUUCCAUACCUAGAGAUGAAAACAAAUAUAAAUAUGGACAAAGUAGCCUAGGAUAAAUAAUAUAAUAUCACUCAUUGUCUUUCAUUUUAAAAUACCAAACUACAAAACAGAAUGAAUGUAAAUUAACCAUUAGUAAUCUAUGCCAUUUACAGAAGAAACUACAGUACUUAAUAUGCACUCGAUCAGUCUAAUUGUUAGUCUGGGACCAUCUUAUAUUCUGCACUGACAUGUACUGGUAUGAUGGAGACUUUUCGCCCAAUGACUAGCAAAAUACAUAUCAGCUUUACAGUAACCCAUUGUUUGGGUCCUGCUGGUAUGGAGAUUCACUGUAAUGGUGGUUAUGGAAUCUUUAAUUAUUCAUAACCCUAAAUCAUCUCAUAACUACUAAGUUCUAGCUUUGAACAGAUUUGAGGUGAUAAAGAUUACUACUGCUCUUAUUUAAUGUAAAAUUGGAACUUCUGUUCUUGCUGAGAAAGAAAAGGGAGGGACUACAAAUAUAAUAAAAAGCACUUAGAAAGGAAAGUGGAAAUUUGUUCAACAGAAAUUACCGAACAAAAUCUCCCUUCAGAGCAGGAGUUCCAGAGUACUGAAUGCUUAUUGCAUCUCCAUGAUUUGCCCACACUGAAAACAGGACUCAAUUUACUCCAGCAACAUUGGUUAUAAAAAGGAACAGAAAAAUGCAACCAAGAACCCAUAGUUAAAUGGUAAAGAUAACACUCACAUAUUUUGUAGUUUGUGUCAAAGGCUGGAUGAUUGCUUAUUGUAUCAUCAACACCAAGAACUUCUAUUCGUUGGAGUUGGCUCUCCAGAAUUUUUCUCCCAAUCAUGCUCUAUGUAGAGAUUGUUAGAAUUCAGAUAUAUAAGUGAUGGUUGAAGAUCAUAGAAGGAUGCGUCAACAAGAGCACAAUGGGCAUGGGGUUCUUACUGCAUCAUGUGUUCUGUUUUUAGAACAAACAAGUUUACAACUUUAACCAUAUAACAAAUAUUGAACACGCAGUCCUAAAGUACAUCAAAGCAUACCCAGUAUACCAGUUUGGACAUGAUUCACAAUUCAAAAGAGAUAUUUUUGCAAGUUCCGCAUCUGUUAGAUGUACAUCUAAAUUGUAAUAAUACUACAAUAAAAGGAUGAAGGAUGCCCUUAGCCAAACAGGAAAUCUUUCUCAAGUUGGUUUUGAGAAACAAAAAGGGAAGCCGCUAGGUAACUUGGAUGACUAAAAUGGCAUUGCAUAGACAUAUUUGAUUAAGAAUAACUGCUGAAGUACAUGUGAAUGUGAUUGCUUUACUUGGAUGUACCUGAGUCACAUUGGUGCGAUCCAAACAGUCUAUGCAAUUUGUUCUGACAGUGCCAGUCUGCUCCUCAAUUUUCUCGUCUUUAUCAUUUAUAAGGAAGUACCUAUCAGAUAACCAUAUUAGCAAAUCAUGUAAAGGAAAGGAUACAUCCAGAGAUGUAUGAGUCUUUGCCUCUUUGGAGAAAAAGUAUAAAGGAAUAUAUCACUUAAGAUAUACAGAAAAACCUCACUAUACAUGACUAUAAUAAGCCAAAAACAGUAUGUUUUUUUUUCUCGAACACGCAGGAGAGCUGCGUAUCAAUAUAUUAAGAAGGAGAAAGGGUAUAGAACCCGAGCAAACUUACACAGGGUUUUUAGAAACAACCUCAACACCACCACAUUAACCAAAAACUAUUACACUUCCUUUUUCUAGCCGGUCCUGACCCAAAACUGAACCAGAAAAAACACCUACAAAAAAUCGAGCUGUGGUAUGAGGGCGAGGAGAUGCGAAAUUCCUUGAGCCCCAGCCAUACCCCACAAGUGCAUUUCAUCUCUUAUGGAAGACAGAACUGCAUUCACAUCAGGCGGCAGGCCGUCGAAGACACAACGAUGGUGUUGGUUCCAAACAGACCAGGCCACCAGAAUUAUGAUGGAGUCAAGACCCUUCUGCACCUGACCAUCCACUCUACCGCUCACCCUUGCCCACCAAUCAUCAAAGGAGGAAUCUUCCAACUGAGGAGCUAAAGCCUGCAAGCCGACGCUGUGAAGUAUGCUGAACCAUACUUGACGGGUGAAGGCACGAGACCAGCAAGUGAUUAAUUGUAUCCUCCUCUUGAUCACACAAUGAACAGCGCUCAGGGUGAGGUAAAUUCCUCUCGGCAAGGCGAUCGGCCGUCCAACAUCUGUUGUGUGCUACUAGCCACAUUAAAAAUUUACACUUGCCCGGUGCCCAGCUCUUCCAAAUCCUUUCGUAAGGUCUGAAUUGAGUGGCACCAAUGAAUAGAGCUUUAUAUGCUGAUUUUGCUGAAUAUCUUCCUGAAGCCGAAAAACACCAUAUGUGCAGGUCUUCUACCUCUGGCUGCAGUACUACCUCAGAGAGCAGAUCCCAUAGCCCAAGGUAUUCAGACAAGACAGCCACUGUGAGUGCCCCUCGUAUAUCCGCAAUCCACCUCAUCUCUGUGAGAGCCUCAUAAACGGUUCUUUUCUUUGCUCUUUUGGAUACAGUGCCAAAGAGGUGGGGGACAAGUUUAUCUAGGCUCUGACCAUGCAACCACCUGUCUGUCCAGAACAGUGUGUUCUUGCCAUUGCCAAUUUCUGAAGUGAUGGCCACUGAGAAAAACACCUUGACUGAGUGUUGAACUUGAAUAGGGAAGAUAGCCCACGGCUUGUUAGGUUUUGUUUUCUGCAACCAAAGCCAUCUCAUUCUGAGAGCCCAACCUAGAUGCUGCAGGUGAGAUAUGCUGAGUCCUACUAGCUCUGGUGGGCGCGUGACCUUGGGCCAAGCCACCAGGCAAUGUCCGCCAUUCACAUCUUUCCUCCCCUUCCAAAGAAAACCUCUUCUGAUCUUAUCAAUGGCUUUAAGGGCCCAAGGUGGGAAGUCCAAAGCCAUGAUCAAGUAUAUCAGCAUAGAGGUGAGCACAAACUGUACAAGAAUUUUUCUCCCUGCUCUUGUUAACAAAUAAGCCUUCCAACCAGGAAGUUGGUCUGCUAUUCUGUCGAUGAUUGGUUGGAUUUGAGCCCUUGUCAAUUUUUGCAGGGAGAGGGGUACUCCCAGGUAUUUGCAGGGAAACUCCAGCAACUGGCAGGGGAGAUGUUCUUGUAUUGUUUCCUUGUCUUCAUCUAUACAUUGAAUUGGUAGUACAUUACUCUUCUGUAUAUUGGUCUUCAGUCCCGAGGCUUCCCCAAAAAGAUGUAACAGAUCCAAUGUGAUACCAAUGUCAUUAGCUGAAGGCCGGAGAAAUAUCACCACAUCGUCUGCAUAAAGGGAUAUCCGAUGCUGCAAGGCCCUUCUAGCAAGAGGUUGUAGUAUUUCUUCCUCAGAGGCCUUUUUCACCAUGUAGCACAAGACAUCCAUGACCAAGAUGAAUAACAUUGGGGACAGAGGAUCACCCUGUCUAAGACCCCAUCGAUGUAAAAUUUUCUCUCCAGGAGUACCAUUGAGCAGCACCUGUGUGGAUGAGGAGGCUAGAAGUCCACUAAUGAUGUCACACCAUAUCGGCCCAAAGCCCAAUUUUUUCAUGACUUCCAACAAAAAAGACCAUGACACUGAAUCAAAAGCCUUUGUUAUAUCAAGUUUCAGCAAGAUCCGGGGUUGUUUCUGUUGAUGGAGAAAACGUGCAGUUUGUUGGACUAGCAUGAAGUUAUCCUGUAUGAAACGACCUUUAAUGAAUGCACUUUGAUUGGGGGAGACCAUCUGGUCCAGCCGACUUGCCAAUCUGUUAGCUAAGAUUUUUGUGAUGAGUUUGGCGAGUGAAUGAACCAAGCUUAUCGGUCUGAAAUCUCUGAUGCUUGUGGCCUUUUCCUUCUUUGGCAGGAGGGUGAUGUAGGCUGAGUUCAACAGAUCAAAAUUCCCCAAUGUUCUGCUCCAUAUGGCUGAAAUUGCUGCCGUCACAUCCACUUUGAUGAUAGGCCAACAUGCCUUGUAGAAGUUUCCAGUGAAUCCGUCAGGCCCUAGGGCUUUAUCAGAAGGUAGCGCACUGGUGGUCCUCCACACUUCCUCUUCAGAGAAGGGAGCCUCUAAUUCAGAUAAGUCAAGGUGUGGCAUAUUCAGCUCCUCCAAGUUAACAGUGAAUUCACGGUCUAAGCUCUCUCCCAGGAGGUUGCUGUAAAAAUCAUAUAUGUUUCUCUCUUUUUCCUCAUGGCUUGUGAGUACCAGCCCAUCAUCAGAGGUGAGUUUACUGAUAAAAUUCUUCCGCUUGCGGUGCCUAGCAUGCAAGUGGAACAAGUCUGGAUUAGCAUCUCCAUCUGACAGCCAAUUAAUACGAGAACGACUUCGCGCUAUUGUGCGCUGCAGCGAUGAAAGGGCUAAGGAAUGUAUCUUGAGCUGAUAGCGCAACCAAAGUUCCUGACUAGAGAGGGAGCGUGCGUCUUGUGCAAUUUCAAGCUGAUGUAGCACCUCCCUGGCAAGACCAAGCUGAGAAUUGACAUCCCAACCUUUUUGUUGCUCCAACUUUGCAGGCCUUUGACAGUACCUCUGAACUUCUUGGAUAAGGUGUCAAAAGGGCAAGCAGUUGGUGGAACAGAGGUCCAGGCAGCUUCCACUGUCUCCUGAAAACCAUCCAGCUAGGUCCAGAAUCCUUCAAAAUGAAAGCGAGCUUUCCCAGGCUUGAUGUCAUUGAGACCAAGGAGGAGCGGACAAUGAUCAGAGCCAUCAGUCGCAGCACUCUGCAACAGGCUAUUUGGGAAUGUCUGUUCCCAGUCAGUAGAGCAUAGAACUCUGUCUAACCUGACCAGGGUAGGGGAUUCCUAUUGAUUGGACCAGGUGAACUUCCGACCAUGGAGUGGUAAGUCAUGCAACACCAUAUCAUUGAUAAGGCGACGAAAUCUACCCAUCAUUGCUCGGUUCAGGUUUCCAUUGUUUUUAUCUUCAGCUUUUACAAUAAGGUUGUAGUCACCAAGAACUAGCCAUGGCCCUUGACAGACAGCCCUCACGUCCCUUAAUUCUUGAAGGAAAAGCAUCUUGUUCUCAUCUCCUUGAGGUCCAUACACACACGUGAGCCACCAAGUUGGCCCGUUGGCUGGACUGAACUGAACCGAUGCACAAAAAUUCUCCACUUGAGUAGCAGCAGCAGGGCCAAGAGAAUGGCGUCACGCCACUAGAAUCCCUCCACUGGCUGCGAUUGAAGGAAGCUCCACAUGAUAAGAGAAAUCAGAUCCAAGCAUUGAGAGAAGGGUUCCACGGGGGAUCACAUUCAUUUUUGUCUCCUGGAUACAAACAAUAUCGACCUUUGAUGAAUUAACAAGAGUUCGAACAGAAUCUUGGCGCGCCCUUGAGUUGAGACCCCGAACAUUCCGACAGAGAAUAUUUGACGGAUUCCGACAGAGAAUAUUUGACGGAUUCAUGAUCAGGGUCACCAUCAGCCCAGCUAGCGGCUUGUGGAGAGUGCACGGCACACUGAGCCAUGACUCUGCUCUUUGGUGGUGUAGUACCAGGGUCUUCAGACGACCACACCGCUUCCAGAAUGGGAGACCAGGUACUGGCCUCGACCAUACCAGAGGGUUGGGACGUUGGGCCGCUUCCAGCGAGGGUGUCCGCACUACCGUCAGAUUCAUCUUGGGCCCUGAGGGGUGAAGGUCCCACUGGUUCUGCAUCAGGCCCAUCCGGAUUAGCUUUGAGCCCUUCAGAGGUAUUCUCAUCUUCAAAAUUAUCGUGCGGCACAUUUGUUAAUGUAGCCGUCACCUUUUCACUAAUUCUGGGCGCACAUGGGCUGACCGCUUGGGCCAACAAGCCCACAUUGAAUGCACUUGCACGCUGGGCGCGAUCCGCGAGGGGCGAGGCCGACACUGACGCCUCGCGCUUCGGGCCAAGCCAGCCGCCGUCCGCGGGGUAACCGGUGGAGAGACCCCUUCAGGCGAAGCGGAAGCUGUCGGGUCUUGAAUGUCAUCGAGCGGAGCUGAUCCGUCACGCAGGAGGACCCCCGAGGAUGCGGGGGCCCCAUCUUGCGGCGCCCCAUGGGCGAUUUCCGCUGGAUGUGGCCCCAGCAGCGCAUGCGCUGAUGUCCGGUUGCCCCUAGAGGGCGACGUUGAAGCACCAGUCGUCGACGCCGACGGUGACCUUUGCCGCCGCCGCCACCUAUGACGGCGCCGCCCCUCGUCAUCAGCCGAAGGCGGGAAAGGAGGAUCUUUGGGCCUUGGUAGCAUAUCAAGAGCGGCAACGACGGAGACCGUAACCGGGUAAAUUAGUGCGCUUCCCAGGUUGAAGAUCAUCAGCCAUCAUUGCAGGUUCCACAAUUUCGAGCUCCAUCUCCAAGGGGAAAUUGGAUGGACUAGAACACCAGGCAACCACCCGGAAGGAAUCUCGACGAUCAGCAGUGUCAGGAUGGAUGCCACAGAUCCAGAAGUACUCGUUGAGGAGGAGCUCUGCCAUUGAUAGUUCCCAGGCGUGAGCCGAGAUGCCUUGGAUGUCGACCUCGACGACGGACGGUAGAGACGCCGCCGUGGACUGUAGAAAACGUGUCCAUCGCAUAACAUGUAGCCUGAUUGAGGAGGUGAUGAUCAAUCGGCCGCCGUCGUAUACCCUCUCCAUCAUCUCUGCGGUCAGCAAGAUCAAGAGGAACCUAGCCGGCCCAAAACACUAGGGGGCCAGCGAGGUUACCUCGAUCUCAAACCUACCAGCAAUGGUGGUCAGAAUGGAAUCUGCACUACCGUUGAGCACAGAGACGACCAGAGCGCGAGCGGUGAGGCCAUCCUCCCUUUGCAAAAUGCUGGCAGAGCGAUCCAAGAUCCGCCGUGGCUUCAAAACUCGACCGCCAGACCAAUGGAUGACGCAGACAAGGCUCACCCAAGUCUGGAGCAGAAGGUUGAUGAAGACAGACGUAGGAGCGAUAGCCAAGGCCACGGCAACGAAAACAGCGUGUCCUCGACCGGCAGUCUGCCGCACGGUGGCCUGGAGAGAAGCAAUUGAAGCAUCUUCCCCUUAGGUCCGCCGGGACUGGCCUGCGGGGAUGCUCCAGACGCUUGCGCACCUAACGAUCCUGACGAUUCACCAUCUUCGUCCAGCUGCCGGCUUUUGGAAUCUGCACCGCGUGCCUUAUGGUGCGCCCCUCGGUAUGUAGGACAAUACGAGGCGCCGCCCGCGGAGCACCGCCCGAGACUGCAGCUGAGGCCAUCUGGUGCGUCGCAACACCAGAAGCCUGCGAGGCCGCCACAAGAGGUGUGCCCGCAAGGAGGACGUCCUUGAACGAGGGGAGGAUGUCGCCGCUGGACUCGUAGGAAGACGGGGAGCUGUCAGUCCACCUCUGGGCCUUGGAGCAACCUACAGUGACGUAGGUAGGGGCUAUGGGGGUGAGGAGGGGCUCUCUCGGCACCAGGGGAGAAGAAG
rnacentral:lncRNA from 1 species